rnacentral:rRNA from 1 species
GAUGAACGCUGGCGGCGUGCCUAACACAUGCAAGUCGAACGCUCGCAAGAGAGUGGCGCACGGGUGAGUAACACGUAGCUAAUCUGCCCUCAAGACAAGGAUAACUGUAGGAAACUACUGCUAAUACUUGAUAAGCUUACGGACUGUAGAGGUCUAUAAGAAAGAUUUAUCGCUUGAGGAUGAGGCUGCGCGCCAUCAGCUAGUUGGUAAGGUAAUGGCUUACCAAGGCGACGACGGCUAGGGGACCUGAGAGGGUGACCCCCCACACUGGGACUGAGACACGGCCCAGACUCCUACGGGAGGCAGCAGUGAGGAAUAUUGCUCAAUGGGCGCAAGCCUGAAGCGGCGACGCCGCGUGGAUGAAGAAGGUUUUCGGACUGUAAAAUCCUUUCUGUGUGACGAGAGUGGACGGUAGCACAGGAAUAAGUCUCGGCUAACUACGUGCCAGCAGCCCGCGGUAAU